CUUCAGACGGUCGGAAACAUUUUAGAAGAUGCAAUAAGUAAGACCUCUUGUAUAGCCUUCCUUCAUGAAGAAGAUACCUGGCCAACUAAUACCUGAUCUUUCGAGCUUCCUUUCGAUCUAUGGGUAGUGUCCCAUCUCGAAAGUAGCUAACCAGUGGAUCAAUCCAAAAGGCCUUCUUGUCAAUCUGCAAUACAAUCAUCGGCUCUUCAAUACUUGGUCAGCUCAUCACUUCGAAGAAAGUUUUCUUGGGCAACUCAGGUGGUGCUGACAUUGCUAGCUUAGAUAAUAAGUCGGCCCUUGAAUUUUUUAACUUGGAUACCUGCUAAAUCUCAACCUUGUCACAAAUGAAUGCCAGGUCUUUGAUCUUUUGUAGGUAUUUCACCAUAUUCUCUCCUC
rnacentral:lncRNA from 1 species